GGAGUCUGGGCCGUGUCUCAGUCCCAAUGUGGCCGUUCAACCUCUCAGUCCGGCUACCAAUCGUCGCCUUGGUGGGCCGUUACCUCACCAACCAGCUAAUUGGACGCGAGGCCAUCUUUCAGCGAUAAAUCUUUGAUUACCAAGCGAUGCCACUCGGUAAUGUUAUGCGGUAUUAGCGUUCGUUUCCAAACGUUGUCCCCCUCUGAAAGGCAGGUUCCUCACGCGUUACUCACCCGUCCGCCACUCAGUCAUAUCAGAAAUCAUUCCGAAGAAAUCAAUCAUCAAGCUUCGUUCGACUUGCAUGUGUUAAGCACGCCGCCAGCGUUCGUCCUGAGCCACUGAUCAAACUCU
rnacentral:rRNA from 1 species